rnacentral:rRNA from 1 species
UACGUAGGGGGCAAGCGUUGUCCGGAAUCAUUGGGCGUAAAGCGCGCGUAGGCGGCCCGAUAAGUCUGCUGUGAAAGUCAACGGCUCAACCGUUGAAAGCCGGUGGAUACUGUCGGGCUAGAGUUCGGAAGAGGCAAGUGGAAUUCCUGGUGUAGCGGUGGAAUGCGCAGAUAUCAGGAGGAACACCCAUAGCGAAGGCAGCUUGCUGGGACGAUACUGACGCUAAGGCUCGAAAGCGUGGGGAGCGAACAGG